rnacentral:sRNA from 1 species
CCAAGGUUUCCUGCGCAACGCUAAUCGACGCAGGGUUAGUCGGUACCUAAGGCGAGGCCGAAAGGCGUAGUCGAUGGAAAGCAGGUUAAUAUUCCUGCACCAGUUGUAACUGCGAUGGGGUGACGGAGAAGGCUAGAUCAGCUGACGGUUGGAAGUGUCAGUUUAAGCGUGUAGGGAGUGGACUUAGGCAAAUCCGGGUUCAUAAUUCUGAGACGUGACGACGAGAUGUUCUUCGGAACAACGAAGUGAUUAAUGCCAUGCUUCCAAGAAAAACCUCUAAGCUUCAGGUUACAAGUGGCCGUACCCCAAACCGACACAGGUGGAUGGGAUGAGAAUUCUAAGGCGCUUGAGAGAACUCGGCUGAAGGAACUAGGCAAAAUGAUACCGUAACUUCGGGAGAAGGUAUGC